UACGGGGGGGGCAAGCGUUGUUCGGAAUUACUGGGCGUAAAGGGCUCGUAGGUGGCCAACUAAGUCGGACGUGAAAUCCCUCGGCUUAACCGGGGAACUGCGUCCGAUACUGGUUGGCUUGAGUUUGGGAGAGGGAUGCGGAAUUCCAGGUGUAGCGGUGAAAUGCGUAGAUAUCUGGAGGAACACCGGUGGCGAAGGCGGCAUCCUGGACCGGUAUUGACACUGAGGCGCGAAAGCCAGGGGAGCAAACGGG
rnacentral:rRNA from 1 species